CAGCACCUCAAGUGGUCAGGAUGAUUAUUGGGCCUAAAGCAUCCGUAGCCGGCUCUGUAAGUUUUCGGUUAAAUCUGUACGCUCAACGUACAGGCUGCCGGGAAUACUGCAGCGCUAGGGAGUGGGAGAGGUAGACGGUACUCGGUAGGAAGGGGUAAAAUCCUUUGAUCUAUUGAUGACCACCUGUGGCGAAGGCGGUCUACCAGAACACGUCCGACGGUGAGGGAUGAAAGCUGGGGGAUCAAACAGGAUUAGAUACCCUGGUAGUCC
rnacentral:rRNA from 1 species